rnacentral:rRNA from 1 species
GGAAUAUUGGUCAAUGGAGGGAACUCUGAACCAGCCAUGCCGCGUGCAGGAUGACUGCCCUAUGGGUUGUAAACUGCUUUUGUCAGGGAAUAAACCUUUCCACGUGUGGGAAGCUGAAUGUACCUGAAGAAUAAGGAUCGGCUAACUCCGUGCCAGCAGCCGCGGUAAUACGGAGGAUCCAAGCGUUAUCCGGAUUUAUUGGGUUUAAAGGGUGCGUAGGCGGUCCUAUAAGUCAGUGGUGAAAGACGGCAGCUUAACUGUCGCAGUGCCUUUGAUACUGUAGGACUUGAAUCUAUUUGAAGUGGGCGGAAUAAGACAAGUAGCGGUGAAAUGCAUAGAUAUGUCUUAGAACUCCGAUUGCGAAGGCAGCUCACUAAGUUAGUAUUGACGCUGAUGCACGAAAGCUAGGGGAGCGAAUGGGAUUAGAUACCCCUG